rnacentral:rRNA from 2 species
UGGGUAGGGGAGCGUUCUGUAAGCCUGUGAAGGUGGCCUGUGAGGGUUGCUGGAGGUAUCAGAAGUGCGAAUGCUGACAUAAGUAACGAUAAAGCGGGUGAAAAGCCCGCUCGCCGGAAGACCAAGGGUUCCUGUCCAACGUUAAUCGGGGCAGGGUGAGUCGACCCCUAAGGCGAGGCCGAAAGGCGUAGUCGAUGGGAAACGGGUUAAUAUUCCCGUACUUGGUGUUACUGCGAAGGGGGGACGGAGAAGGCUAUGUUGGCCGGGCGACGGUUGUCCCGGUUUAAGCGUGUAGGCUGGUUUUCCAGGCAAAUCCGGAAAAUCAAGGCUGAGGCGUGACGACGAGGCACUACGGUGCUGAAGCAACAAAUGCCCUGCUUCCAGGAAAAGCCUCUAAGCAUCAGGUAACAUCAAAUCGUACCCCAAACCGACACAGGUGGUCAGGUAGAGAAUACCAAGGCGCUUGAGAGAACUCGGGUGAAGGAACUAGGCAAAAUGGUGCCGUAACUUCGGGAGAAGGCACGCUGACACGUAGGUGAAGUGAUUUACUCAUGGAGCUGAAGUCAGUCGAAGAUACCAGCUGGCUGCAACUGUUUAUUAAAAACACAGCACUGUGCAAACACGAAAGUGGACGUAUACGGUGUGACGCCUGCCCGGUGCCGGAAGGUUAAUUGAUGGGGUCAGCGCAAGCGAAGCUCCUGAUCGAAGCCCCGGUAAACGGCGGCCGUAACUAUAACGGUCCUAAGGUAGCGAAAUUCCUUGUCGGGUAAGUUCCGACCUGCACGAAUGGCGUAAUGAUGGCCAGGCUGUCUCCACCCGAGACUCAGUGAAAUUGAACUCGCUGUGAAGAUGCAGUGUACCCGCGGCAAGACGGAAAGACCCCGUGAACCUUUACUAUAGCUUGACACUGAACAUUGAGCCUUGAUGUGUAGGAUAGGUGGGAGGCUUUGAAGUGUGGACGCCAGUCUGCAUGGAGCCGACCUUGAAAUACCACCCUUUAAUGUUUGAUGUUCUAACGUGGACCCGUUACCCGGGUUGCGGACAGUGUCUGGUGGGUAGUUUGACUGGGGCGGUCUCCUCCUAAAGAGUAACGGAGGAGCACGAAGGUUGGCUAAUCCUGGUCGGACAUCAGGAGGUUAGUGCAAUGGCAUAAGCCAGCUUGACUGCGAGCGUGACGGCGCGAGCAGGUGCGAAAGCAGGUCAUAGUGAUCCGGUGGUUCUGAAUGGAAGGGCCAUCGCUCAACGGAUAAAAGGUACUCCGGGGAUAACAGGCUGAUACCGCCCAAGAGUUCAUAUCGACGGCGGUGUUUGGCACCUCGAUGUCGGCUCAUCACAUCCUGGGGCUGAAGUAGGUCCCAAGGGUAUGGCUGUUCGCCAUUUAAAGUGGUACGCGAGCUGGGUUUAGAACGUCGUGAGACAGUUCGGUCCCUAUCUGCCGUGGGCGCUGGAGAACUGAGGGGGGCUGCUCCUAGUACGAGAGGACCGGAGUGGACGCAUCACUGGUGUUCGGGUUGUCAUGCCAAUGGCACUGCCCGGUAGCUAAAUGCGGAAGAGAUAAGUGCUGAAAGCAUCUAAGCACGAAACUUGCCCCGAGAUGAGUUCU